CUCGAAGACAUAGACAACCGAUAACAUGCUUCCUAAUCCAAGCAAAUAUAUAAACAAUCUGUUUUGCUUUAUUCGCAACUCCAGCAAUUCAUGCGACACCUAGCGGCAGUAGGGAGAAACGAAAUACAGAGGUCCAGUCGCCGUGUGUGCCGUGGAGGCUGCUGUCGCGGACGGAAGAAUGAAGCUGCUAGCAAAGAAAAAGCGAACGGCCAAGCAGUUCUGCUGUGUUCCUCGGUGCGUGCCAGCGAGAUGGAAGGACCGCGAUAUUUCCGUUCACGCACUUCCCUCCGAGUGGAAAGGCUGAAGCCGCAGAACCAGGUGGAUCGCUAACCUCCGCAUCGGCAAGGCUGUGACGCUUACAGUGACUGUUUGCUCACGGCAUUUUGCACGGGAUAAUUUCUCCUUACCAGAUGUAGCAUGUCAAAGACAGCGGCUGAAAAAAAUGCAAUACCAACUGAAAACCUGCCAAGGACGUCAUGUUAUGAUGAGAACAAGGAUGCUCAUAUGAAAGAGCUUUCACUGGCAAGACUUCGCUGACGUGUGUAUCGGUCAGCCAGAGUAAGUUAAUUUGACUACAUGGUGCAGCACUUAUAUGCUUAUGGUACAUACACCAUGUCUCAAAGCAUGCAAUAGAUGUCAACACCUUUUAAUGCAUUACAGAAUGAAUCAAGCAAAGAAACUGUUGCCUCCCCAUUAGAAGCAAAGGUGUUGCCCCAUGCACCUGUCAGCACGACCACCAUGGUAAAUUGGCUGCCUGCAACUUGUGCACACAUUGCUUCACCACUAAUUCCUUGGGAUUAAACUCUGACAUUGCAGGACGAUCUCCCAUCCCCUGACCGCAACAGCAUGGACCAAAUAAGUGACAAAGGAAAUAUGGUAAUUUCUUUUUGUAUAUGUAUGUGUUGUGGUAGCUGUCUUUACCUAGACGGUGGCAUGCUUUCUGGAUUUACAUCGUAAAAGCAUUGUAGCACGUGGUGUGUGAUGGGUGCACAUUAAUUGCAACUUGUGCACACAUUGCUUAACCACUGGUUUCUUGAACUGAACUCUAUCUGACAUUGCAGGACGAUUUCCCAUCCCCUAACAGCAUUGACCAAAGCCUUGCAAACACCAUAAGGGACAAGGACAUAGCAAAUAUGGCAAUUUAUUUUUUCUAUAUAUUUGUGAUGUGGUAGCUGUCUUUACCUAGCCGGCAGCAUGUUUUCUGGAUUAAUUCGUGAAAGGAUUGUGGUGUGUGAUGGGUGCAAAUUAACUGAUGCAAAAAGCUUGGCUUUCCUACUUCCAACAUUGAAUUUAAUACACUGACGUGCAUUAUUGGAAUGACAAAAAGAAGCUGCAUUUCGCGUCAGAUAUGUCAGACAUUACAACUCUUGCUUUUGUUUUGUGACAGGAAUGUGCUUGCCAACCUGGCCUCCAGACAUUAAUGGCAGAGUACUCAAGAGAAGAAAAAGACGUGGCAAAUUUCCUACUAGAAAUGGCUUCACGGACAAGGCUUACAGAAAGCAAGGCUGCCCAAGUGACAUCGGGUACUUUUCCACAGAAGUUUGUGAACACGAUAAAUAGUAGCGACGUAAAUACAUUCACAGGCCUGCCAUCAUUCGAUGUUCUGAAUGCUCGUGUGACGUGCUACACAAAAAUUCAUCCACUUUCAGGACGGCACCAGUUAUGUGUAAAAACAAUUGCAUUGACAUUGGUGAAAUUGAAGCAUAUUUCCACUGCAUUCUUGAGUCACCUUUUUAACUGUUCUCUAACUACAUGUAGCAACAUAAUUGCAGAGACUGCUCAGUUGAUGUGUGAAAUUUUAAAAGUAACUGUGGCUGUGCCACCAAAAGAUGAAUUCCAGUGGCGCGUUUGCAUAUUCGGCAUUAGGUGAUUCACCUGAAGUCGUGCCAUGGCUGGCGAUAUUGCAAGUAGCCUGUAUUGCAUAGAGGCAUUUGUGCGUGUGACCUUGGCUCCAUCAAAGCGUGGCGGCCUUGAGAGUAAGUGCAGUCUUCUGUUUGGAAAUCCAGCAUUUUUUAUGCCACUCAGCCACUUCAUACUUUUCAGACACGGUCGUUGCCAUGUGAUCUACAUGCUGCACUUGUUUGCAUUGGCCAAACCUGCAGACUUCAACUUCAACACACUUUUUGUAAAUUAGCAAUGCACAUUCUUUUGCAACUUGUAUUCUUCAUUGAAGUGCUGAUUUACACUACGCAUUCUGAUGCAAGUUUUCAUCUUAUGGUAUUCCGAGAUAUUUGCAGUUCACUUAUGAUCUGUGUGCAUAGAGUUGUGGUUAUUCUUCAAUGGCGGUUUGUUGUCCCUUUCCUUACUUGUAUUUUUUCACAAAAUAAACCACAUGCACUCAA